AUUGCUGUGGGGCUCACUACUGGGGUUGUAGGCAUGCUUUAUUUGUGCAAACUCAUAAGAGGUGGAGAAAGUAGAGCAGAUCAAGCAAACUACAGGGAUACCGUCAGGUACACCCUUGUUCUGUGCUCCCACAGUCCUUCUCUGAUGACUCUAAGAAAGGAGAAAUGGGGGACUGCUGUUACACGCUGGCCUUGCUCACAAACCCCUCCUGAACCUGUGCUGCAGGAUCCUUGAAGACAGGAACAGAUACCCAGCAAAAAGACCAAGAUCAGGAUGUGAAGCUGAGUAGAAGUGAGUGGGACCAAUGCUGAAACUGUGGCGGGCUCCUUUUGAGCAAACAAGUGACCAUGCACCAUGUCUGUGCAGAACAGAUGAGCUCAGCCACCACUGCUCUUGGGACAGCAGCUGCUGGGACAACCCUGCGAACUGGAGUCACUAUGAUGCCGCUCAGACUCAAGGAAGACGCAGAGGGUUCCUUCUGCUGUCCUGCGCUCCUAGUGCCCUCGCACACAGCUCAGGGAAGCAGGCAGCUCCCAGGCCUCUCCCUUCAGAAAGGGUAGGAGCACAGAGAACUGCAUGUUCUGCUGCCCACACGGCAUCCGGAUGUGGGUCUCACCUCCGCCCCUGCAGCAGCAGCAGCUCGCAGCACCAGGCGAGCUGAGGUCGGCCUGACUCCCAGUGCUGCUGCUGCAGGGAGGGAGGCAGCUGCCUUUGCAGGAAAUCCUUAGUGCUGCAGAGAGCUGUGUGCAAGGAGCAAAGCAUCCCCCUUUCAAAACACAGUGAGUUUUGGCGAAGGCCAAUGGUACUUGACAUCUACCAGCUCCUUCACGCAGUGUAACAUCGUCCUGACUUGGCUGCUGGUGACCUGCAGCAAGGCAUCUCAAUCAGCACCAGAAAUUAAAACGUUAAUGAC
rnacentral:lncRNA from 7 species